GGAACAUUAAGGAAAAAAGAGAUUCGAUUAGACGAAUCGCGGAAAGUCGAUAAACGGAGUGGUCGAUCAGCUCGUUUAGUUGACCGCGCAUCGAUCGUCUCGACUCCUAAUUAUCCGCACUACGACCACACGUCAGAUUUGUGUUUGUUAUUUAUUUAUCAUUCCUCCUGCAUAUUCCACGCGACGCGAGUAAACAAGUGCCGAAAGGCAAACAUUCUCUAGUUAAGCGUACGGUCCACGGGGAAGAGGGACUAAGGGUCAGAAUCAGUCUGCGUUAAUGCCAGAUGCAUGCUUUGCUAGAAAUUUUCUCUCUUUGUAUCUCGUUCUUUUUUCUUUUCUUUUCUUUCCUUUUUUUUCUCUAUUCGUCCUUUAUCCCAUCGAUCCUUCCGACUUUCUACGAACUUUUAACAAUCUAACGAUUUAAGAAUAGGAAGGAUAUUUUUAUGUAAGAACUUUCGCGCUAUAAACCUUAAGAACUCGAGUAUCAAACGACGUGACCUUUCUAGCGAUCAACAGACAUGAUAUUCGAAUGUAGAUAAUAGAUGUAAUAUGCAUAAAAAGAGAAAAUAGAAAAGAAAGAAAGAAAGGAAAGAAGGAAGGAAGGAAGGAAGGAAGAAAGAAAGACAUCUGGAAGUUGGAAGUAAUAGAAAACGGACUUGUCCGCAUACCCGUCCGUAUUCGUUAGAAGGAAACGGAUUGAAUUGGAUUGUUCCGACGAUUCUUCAAAAAGCCAGCGUCUCUUUAUAAGGGGAGUAUAAAAAUUCUAUUCCCUCUUGUUUUAUCUUGGAGGGCUGCAAGAGAAGAAGGAAACGGGAUCUCCUUUUCUUCAUGAAUAUAGGAAAGAAGAAAGGGAGAUCGACAUGAAGGAAGUAGCAGCAAAAGUAAUAAGGAGUAAGGUGGAGUCGUAAGAAGAGAAGGAAAACAAAACAGGAAUGGGUCGGGGGAAGCUCGCUAGAGACGGUAUACGAAAAUGGUCCGACUGGUGCAAGCUGUUGCGGAGGAAAGUUUUUCGCGCGAAAACUGGAAAGAACUUUCGUCUACCACUUUAAAUCGAAACAGCAGUCGAAGAAGAAGUUACACGAACACGGGUACACGGAGAAAUGCUUGGAAGAAAAUCUACGAAAAGUGCGAGAGAUUGAGAGAUCCCCUUUUGCUGGCAGCAACUUCGUUCGAGCUUGAAGCUUAGUUUAACUCGUUAAUUUCGCGGCUACGC